AUUGAAAGCUGGCGGCAGGCCUAACACAUGCAAGUCGAGCGAGCGGCGGACGGGUGAGUAAUGUAUGGGGAUCUGCCCGAUAGAGGGGGAUAACUACUGGAAACGGUGGCUAAUACCGCAUACCAUAAGAUGAACACAUAUGGGAUUAGCGAGUAGGUAAGGUAAAGGCUUAACUAGGCGACUGUCCCUAGCUGGUCUGAUAGGAUGAUCAGGUACACUGGAACGUGUACACGGUCCAUACUCCUACGGGAGGCAGCAGUGGGGAAUAUUGGAAAAUGGGCGAAAGCCUGAUCCAGCCAUGCCGCGUGUGUGAAGAAGGUCUUCGGAUUGUAAAGCACUUUCAGCGGGGAGGCGUUACCCGCAGAAGAAGCACCGGCUAACUCCGUGCCAGCAGCCGCGGUAAUUC
rnacentral:rRNA from 1 species